CACGUAGGCACCAAGCGUUGUCCGGAUUUAUUGGGCGUAAAGAGCUCGUAGGCGGUUCAGUAAGUCGGGUGUGAAAACUUUGGGCUUAACCCAAAGCGUGCAUCCGAUACUGCUGUGACUUGAGUUCGGUAGGGGAGUGGGGAAUUCCUAGUGUAGCGGCGAAAUGCGCAGAUAUUAGGAGGAACACCGGUGGCGAAGGCGCCACUCUGGGCCGAAACUGACGCUGAGGAGCGAAAGCAUGGGUAGCAAACAGG
rnacentral:rRNA from 1 species